AGGUCUUGAAGAGACCUGUUGGGAUAAACACCUUCAAGGUAAUAGAGUCGGGCAGGACAAAAGCACCAUCAUUGUGAAAAUGCCUUCAACCUGAAACAUUCUGAUGGAACUAUGUGCGAACAACGGACACAAACUGCCUAAUAUGGCUAUCUCUAAUGACAAGGCUGCUUUAUGGAGAUCUUAGCAAUGAUAAAUAUGGCUGCUCAGAAUUCCCUCUUAGUUGGGUGGAAGAGUAACUGGUCGACCACAGUGUUCUCUCACUUCACAGUAAGAAAUACACUCUCCCUCCGAGAAGUCCAUCAGUUAAUAUUAACAAGGAGAAAGAGAAAGAAUAACUUGGCAGGAAGCUCUGAAUUUCCCCCAGACUCGAGUCAAGAGAUCAUCAAGGAAGGAGUCUAGCUGUAAAGUAUACCUCUCUUCCUCUGAUGAGAGUGACAACCAGGGUGGCUGGAAUC